rfam:Caenorhabditis brenneri strain PB2801 C_brenneri-6.0.1_Cont377.4, whole genome shotgun sequence.
UGUUGCGGAAACCAUUUUUAUCGCAUUGGUUUGAACCGGGUAAAAGUCGUAACAAGGUAGCUGUAGGUGAACCUGCAGCUGGAUCAUCG